AUCCGAAUGACGAGUCUCAAAUAGAACGAAACGCGAGUCCUUUAU
rnacentral:hammerhead_ribozyme from 1 species